rnacentral:rRNA from 1 species
AUUGAACGCUGGCGGCAGGCUUAACACAUGCAAGUCGAACGAGUGGCGGACGGGUGAGUAAUGCUUGGGAAUCUGGCUUAUGGAGGGGGAUAACGACGGGAAACUGUCGCUAAUACCGCGUACCAUAGGCUGAGCCCACGGGGGAUUAGGUAGUUGGUGGGGUAAUGGCAUACCAAGCCGACGGUCUCUAGCUGGUCUGAGAGGAUGACCAGCCAAACCGGGACUGAGACAUGGGCCAGACUCCUACGGGAGGCAGCAGUGGGGAAUCUUCGGAAAUGGACGACAGGCUUACGGAGCAACGCCGCGGGAGUGAUGACGGCCUUCGGGUUGUAAAGCUCUGUUAAUCGGGAGACGGUACCGGAAUAGAAAGCCACGGCUAACUACGUGCCAGCAGCCGCGGUAAUUC